rnacentral:pre_miRNA from 1 species
CAUAUACUCCCUCCGUUCGGAAUUACUUGUCGCAGAAAUGGAUGUAUCUAGACAUAUUUUAGUUCUAGAUACAUCCAUUUCCGAGACAAGUAAUUCCGAACGGAGGGAGUGCUAG